AAAUACUUGCGCGUAGCGCAUUGGGCGUCAUUGGCCGAAUACAGUAUUUUCAGGUAGUAAUUAAAAAAGGUAAAUUUUGUUUAUGAGUAAUACAAAAUAACACGAAAACCUAUAGCGUAUGUAUAUAUAUAUCUCACUAUUCUUACAAUAGAUGUAAAUAUAUAUUAUAAGUUUUAGUAUUAUAGUAGUGUAUGAUAUAAAAAAAUUUUUAUAUAUUUAUAUAUUUUAAUAUAUAAAUAUUGAAAGUAUAUAAAGAAACUAUUAUGGAUUUUGGUUAGCUAUGUAUUAAAGGGAUUAAAUGAUUAUGUAUAUUAUGCGUACAUAUCGACCCUAAGAGAAAUUAAGUAAUAAACGAAGCGAAGUGAAAUAUCUUAUUAGCUUUAGGAAAAGAAAUCAAAAGAGAUUCUAUGAUUAAUGUGAAUGAAAGUAGAGAAGCCUAAUAAGUAAAACGGUAAUAAAACUGUUUGAAUACUAAGGGGAACCUUCCUCUAAGGCUAAAUAUAAUACAUAAGCGAAAGUGUACAUAAGUACCGUGAGGGAACCGCAUAUGAAGUAGUAGUUUUAUAAGCAGCUCAAGCAAAAAAGUAAGAGCGUACCUUUUGCAUAAUGGGUCACCAAGUUAACGUUAGAUGCAAGCAAGGCUUGGCUUCUGGCUUCGCCAGAAAGCAAUAAAGCUAUGCAUAAUUAAACUGAUCAUAAAUUAAUGAGUAGUGUCUAAAGUUAGACCCGAAGCCUGGUGAUCUUACCACAGUCAGGACUAUAAAGGUCCGAACGGGUUAUCGUUGCAUAGAUAUCCGAAGAAUUGUGGUAAGCAAGUGAAAGACAAAGCUGACUAGGAUAGCUGGUUUUCUGCGAAACCUAUAAAAGUAGGCAAUUUGAUAACAUCUUAGCAGGUACAGAACUUCAUCUCAGGCAAGAUGUGAAAAAUUUUAUGGGUGAAUAUCCUAUGAAAACACAUUUUAUUCUUGUACAGAUCGGGGAAUCGUGAAGAUUUUACCGGUGAGAUUGUAGACUCGGAAUGGCAAAGAUGAAUAUUUAAUUAUCGGACAUAGAAUGAUAAGGUUGUAUGUCAAAAGGGAAACAGCCCAGAACAAGAGUUAAGGUUCCAAAGUUAUUAUUAAGUGAAAUUAAGAAGGUUUUUAUUUAAGUCGACAAGGGGAUAGGCCUAGGAGCAGCCAUAAUUUAAAGACCUCGUAACAGAGCACUUGUUAAGUUUUAAGAGCAUCGAAAAUUUAACGGAUCUAAAUAAUAUACCGAAACCUUGUCCAUAAUAUAAAAUAAGUAAAAAAAAGGUUAAAUUAAACUAUCUUUGUUAUUUUUAUUUAAUGGGGUAGCAGAACGUUGAGUGUAUGUAAGAGCAUUCUUAUUUUAAGAAUAGUGCUAUAACUCAAGUGAGAAUGGUGACAUGAGUAACUAAAAAGAGUUUACAAAACUCUCGCCUAAAGCUUAUGGCUUAAAAAAGUAACGGCCUCUAAGUUAUUAACCUCAAGGUUAUAACGAUGAGUAAAACUUAUUAAAUAUGACAACAUUUCCUAAGUGAGAAGUGUGCAGGAAAAAAAUUAGUAAAUACAUAUUAUUUAGGGUGACCUAAAAAUGUAAAUAAACCGUACCUAGAGUCUGUGACAAGUAAGCUAGUAGAGAAUACGAAGGCGUAAUGAGAUAACAAUCAUAAAGGAACUCGGCAAAUUAACUACCGUAACUUAGGGAUAAGGAGGGCUCAUUAGUCUUGAUUAAUAUCAAGUAAAAAGGAAGAAGCAUAAAAUAAUGUUGUACGACUGUUUAAUUAAAACAAAGCACUUUGCGUAAAAAUGAUAAAUCUAAGUAUAGAGUGUGAUCUCUGCCCGAUGCCGGCUGGUUAACGGAAAUAACUAAAUUGUGAAAGGUUUGGUGUAGAAGGAACCCCCGGUUAAUGGCGGCCUUAACGUGAGGGUCCUAAGGUAGCGAAAUGCCUUGGCCGUUAAAUGCGGUCUUGCAUGAAUGACGUAACGAUACAACAGCUGUCUCUAUGAUUGACUCAGUGAAAUUGGAAUAACUGUGCAGAUACAGUUUACCUCUAGGUAGACGAGAAGACCCUAUGCAGCUUUACUGUUACUAAUUAUUGAGUAUAAUAGACAUAUUUUAGAAUAUAAGGUAAUGGGUGGUUAGCUAAGCUAAAUUAAACUAGGCUUAGUGUAACUCUUCAUGAAAUUGAAAUCCCUUUAUUUGGAGAUUAUACUGUAGGCGUAAGCUCAGGCUUUGCCUGGGUUUUACGAAUUAAUAAAAACCCUGUAAGAGGGGACAUUUGCUAGGAGACAGUUUAUGCGGGGCACAGACCCCACAAAGAGUAAAUGGGAGUGUCCAACAAAUAAUCUGCAUAUUAAUUUAUGUAUUUUAGUAUAUAACACAGACUGAGAACUUAUCUAGGAUUAACCUAACCAAUUAAAGCUAUAUUUAUAUAGCUAAGGCUGGAAAGGGUUAUGAUUAGAGUGGUAACUGAGCAUAAGGCUUCAGUAAAUUUAUGUUUUUUAGGUAAGUAGACAACUAUGGUGAAGUUAGUAAUAGUAGUUAAUAAUAUUAUGAAAUAACCUGUAGACUAAUAGUCUACCUUGUUAUGCUCUAUUAUUAUUAGAGAUAUUAUACUGCGCUGGGCGUGAAAGUAUAAUAAAAAAUUGUAAAACAUAUUGACAGGUUUAACGGCAAAAUCUUGCCUU
rnacentral:rRNA from 1 species